CCUAAACCUUGACUUCCUACUAAACCUUACACUUUGAGUGCAGAUCUCGGCUGCGGCACUCACCUCGGAAACGCUGCGUGGACGUCCUGGUAAACCUUAAGUUAGCGCGCCUCCGAUGCGCGGCCGGCGCCUACCUCGACGCUGAUGCCCAGUCACCACCGACGCGCCGACCACGCCUCGGACGCCGCUGUCGCCCCACAAACCCUCUGGACGCCCCCGACGCGCGGACGCCACAGACCCUCUAAACGCUGCGGACGGUGACGCGCCACCGACGCCACAGACGCUGUCAGCGCCUGGGACGCCGCUGACCCUCUGACCGCUCUGCGGCCGCCCCCGACAAGCCUACCGCGCCACCUACAUUCCCGACGCGGGUACUGCACCGCCGAUUCCAUCCCCGCAUGGGACGCCGGCGACGCACCUCGGAAGUUGCCUUCACGCCGCAGAGGGGCCCACUGCGCCGCGGACGUCUCGCGCUGCAGAGACCCACGACGCAGACCGCGGCGUGUACGCCCCCGACGCGCCGACCGUGCCGCGGACGCCGCAGACCCCGCGGACACCGUCAGUGCCUGGGACGCCGCCGCCGAACCGCUGACCGAGCCUUGGAUGUCCCCGACCAGCUUACUGCACCGCCGACCGCGCCGCCGAUGCCAUCGGCGCCUGGGACCUGCCGACGCACUGUAGACGCUGUCGUGUCGCCGCUGACAUCACUGACGCGCCGACCACGCUGCCAACGCCACAGACCCUCUGGACGCCACAGGCGCAGAUCGCGCCACCAACACCACUGACGCACCCGACGAGCUGACCGCACCGCCGACGGCGCUGACACUGUGAGCAGCUGGGAAGCCGCUGACUGCGCCGUGGAUGCCCCGACCAGCUUACUGCACUACCGACCACGCCGCCGAUGCCAUCCGCGCCUGGGACCUGCUGACGCACCGUAGAUGCUGUCUUCGCGCCACUGACGUCAGUGACGCGCCAACCGCGCCGCCGACGGCACUGACACUGUGAGCGGCUGGGAAGCCGCCGUACCGCUGACCGCGCCUUGGAUGCCCCGGACCAGCUUACUGCACCGCCGACCUUCCCGAUGCUCCUACCUCGCCGCCGAUGCCAUCCGCUCCUGGGACGCCGCCGAAGUACCGUAGACGCCGCCGUCGCGCCGCUAACGUGACUGACGCGCCGAACAUGCUGCCUACGCCACACACUCUCUGGACGCCCCUGGCGCGGAUCACGCCGCCAACGCCGCUGACGUACCCGAAGAGCCUACCGCGCCGCUGACACUCCUUAUGCGCUGACCUCACCGCAGGUGCCAUCUGCGUGUGUGACGCCCCUGAAGUGCCUCGGACACCUCCGUCGCAGCACAGACACCGCCGACGCGCCAACCGCACCGCAGACGUCCCCGACGACCUGACAGCGCCGCCGAUGCCAUCCGCACCUGGGACACCGCCAAUGAAGCUACUGUGCACCAGGAGGAAGCCGAGGCAGAGGAAAAGAGCACUGGACUUGGAGUCGGCGUGCCUGCCUGCCUACCUCUGGCUUCACGUUCCCGUUUGCAGUGAAAGGGCAUAAUGGUCUGUGGGUCGCGGUGCCCAGCCCCGCCCGCCCCGCCGCCCCUGGCUCGGAGCCUGGCACAGCCCAGGCCCUCUGCUGGAGCCCCAGUCAUGGCAAGACCGACCCAGCCCAGGGAGGUGAGCACGCCCAGCCGGCCCGCGGGGCUAGAGGCGGAGGCCCAGGCGCCCGCCCCUGUGGGAAAGCGCGCGGAGGGUGAUCCGGGUGAGUCAGCCGGAGAGCCGAGUGGGGUGCGCAGCGAGAGACAGGCCGAAGGCGGCUGUGAGUGUUCCUGCAGGGCAGGGGGCAUUGUCCCCACCAAGCCGGGGCCGGGACAUGAGCCUUGCAAGACAGAGACGCUCCGGCGGGAGCUCUGGUCCCGGACCUAUGGUCGGGCGGGGUGGGGGUUACCCAGGGUUCUGGCCUCAGCGGGAUUUGUCCCUUCCAAUCUGUCCCGUCCCCUCGCUGGGCUUUUGCCCGAUGGCCUCAUUCUCUUGCUGCUGGUGAGAGGGGUGGGAUGUGCCUGCUUGGUAAACUGUGGAGCACCACCAAAUGCGGAGGGAGGACCCCCAUUUGGUGCCAGGCUGGGCCUGGUGCGUGGGCAGGAGGGGUGGGAUGGGCCCUGCACACCAUCACCACCUUACUGGGGUGCUGCACUGAGAAACCAAAGGCUCAGGGAGAGAGUGGCUCCCCCACCUUCAUCCCCCCCAUACACUUAUCCCCUGCUUCACCCUUCCCCCACACCAACCCACUCCAAGCCCCAGGGAGCCCAGUUCCUAAGAGCCACUGCCGCCGUUUGUCCAGCACUCACUGGGACGCUGCCUUGUGAUAAACGUUUUGCACAGUUACCUUAGUUAGCCCUCCCUCUGGCACGACACUGCCAGCUGUCUUUCCAGAAGAGUAACCCGGGCUCAGAGAGUUAAAGUCACUGGUUCAAGGUCACUGCAGUCAGAGGUGGAGUUACCCUGGGGCUAAUUGAAGCUUAACUUUCAGACCCUCGCAAGUCCUGGGACCUAAUUUUGCAUUUGUAUUUUUGUGUUCAUUUCCUUUAAAAGCCCCCCUCCCCCAACAGUAGGAGGGUCAAGCCCCUUCAGAAGGGAUCUCUCUGGCGGUGUCUAGUCUGUCUGCUGUCCUCUGCAGCACUGCCUGGGAUGGGUCAGGAUGGGGGAUUCCUGUGGCUGGACAGUGCCAGCCUGGCAGGGAGGGAAGGACAUCCAGAUUUGAUCAAGGGGCCCACAGGAUGUCUGCAUGAUUCUUGAUAGACUCCAAACAGCCUGCUGUGUGUGGAGCCAGCUUAGGCAGAGCCCCCCGCUUUGUGACAUUGGGCUUUUCUCUGGGGCUCAGCUGUCCUCAUCUAAGUUACGGUUGGUUAUUAUGGGGUAACUGCAGACAGGGUAAAAGUGGGAGGAACAGAGGCUGGAAAGCUCGCAGCCCUGCCUGUCCUCUGUUUCCGCCUCCCGUUCCCCCACAGCCAUCCACAGGUGCUCGCCACUGUGCCCUGUGCUGCCUUCUUCACAGCCAGCCCUCUCCCCUCCAGCUGCCGCAUCUUCUCCUUCACAGCCAAGCUGUCGGCGGUGCCGAACCUCCCCGCUGUCAGUCGCCCUUCACCCCGUUCCAUUCUGUGUGCCUCCUGCCUCCACCCACCAUGGCAUCUGCCCUGGCUUUAGUUGUAGGAGAGACUCUCUGUUGGCAAAUUGGCUCCAGCCCUGCCUGGUCCCACAGCAGCCUUUGACAUGGUUGAAGUGCUCCCCACCUCUUCACUUUUGUGUGGCUGAGCUUCCCUCCCACUUCUGGGCCCCUGCUCUGUCCUCUUUGUCUCCUGAGCCUCUUCCCCUGCCUCAGGCCUCCCCUCCCCUCCGCCUGCCCUCCCAGGCUGUGCCUUGACUUCUCCCCUCCUCCUACCUGCCUCUGCUGGUGGGUCUCACCCAUCUUGGGGCUUAAAACCCACCAAUGCCCAUGAUGCCUGGCCUUUGUCUACCCAGGCAACUGCUCAGAGUUCUGGAUCCCUGCUCCCACCAGCCCACCCGUGCAUCUCCUGCGGGCUCCCUCACAGUCAUCUCCUGCUCCACUCAUCACGACUGAACUCCUCUGCACCUUCUCCAGCAUUCCCUCUACAGCCAACCCCAUUCCUGAUUUCUUCCUCCCCAAUACCACAACAUUCAACCCCAUACCAGCCCUGUGGGUCCUGCUUCCAAAAUGGCUCUCUAGAAUCCACCUGCUCCUCCCACCUCCUCUGUCACCACCUGUUCCCAGCCACCAUUGUGUCUCUCCUGGACAACUGUGGGGGUCUCCCUUCCUCCACCCUGGCCCCCCAGAAUCCACUUCUCUCAGGAGCUGCUGUGCUAGAUGGGAUGGCAUCCCUCCCCUCACUGAAACCCUUCGGUGCCUCCCAUUGCCUGCAGGAUAAAAUACAAGCUCCAGAACCCCGGCCUGUGGGCCUCAGCCCUCUGGGCUCAUUGCUCUGCAGCUGCUGCAGCCUCCUUUCUGCUUCUGGAGUGUGACGUGAGUGUUCCCAUUGCAGGGCCUUUGCCCUUGCUGUUCCCUCUGGCUGGAAUGCCCUUUCUCCCACUCUUUGCCUGGCACACAUCUAAUUAGCUUUCAGGAGGUCAUCCUUAAGACCUUCCCCUCGACCCCCUCUCACACCUCUUAAGAGCACCCAAGUACUUAGUGUCAGCUGGAAUUACAUCUUUAUUUCUGGGGCUAUAGGUUAAUGUCUGCCACCCCCACCAGACUGCAAGCUGCACAGGGCUGUCUGGUUUACUAUCUGUGUUGCUCUGCCUCUCCCGUGCCUAGCACGGUGCUAGGCACCCAGUGGGCACUCAGGAAACACACAUGAAGGAGAGGUGUAGAGGCCCAGCUGCUGAGGGUGUCCUGCUGCGAUCUGUCCAGCAGGUGGCCUCCCAGACCAGAGCUUCACCUCUGGAGAUGGGUACCCAUGGCAGGCUUCAGAUUUGGAAGGAGCUCCUAUGCCAAUCCCCGGGCCCCCAGUUGAGAUUCACAUCGCAGAUGCGGGAGCCCGGCCGCCCUCUUUUGUCUUCAGUCCCAGAGAGACCUUGGCUCUUGCUUUUUAGAGACUUACUUCUUGGCAUUGUGAUUUGUUUUUGAGGCAGCUCUCACUCUGUCACCCAGGCUGGAGUGCAAUGGCACAAUCAUGACGAAUUGCAGACUCAGCCUGCCUGGCUCAAGUGAUUCUCCCACCUUGGCCUCGAGAGUAGCUGGUACUACAGGCAUAUGCCAUUAUGCCCAGCAUAUUUUUGUAUUUUUUGUAGAGAUGGAGUUUCACCAUGUUGCCCAAGCUGGUCUCAAACUCUUGACCUCAAUCUGCCCAACUCAGCCUCCCAUAGUGCUGGGACUACAGGUGUGAGCCCUCGGCUUGACAUCACAAUUAUCUAUCUGCAUCUCCUGUAAGGGGGCUAGGGGCAACUCAAGUCAGAGACCUGAUCUAACCUGUCUUUUUUUUCUUGCUUGUGCAGAGCUCAGAAAAUGAAUGACUAGUAGGGAAACUGAAUAACUCAGUCAGUGGAGAGACUGAUCCUGGAAGUUAAUGUUAAUGGUUUGGAGCCCAAUGCCUGGGUUCUAAUCCUGGUUCUGGGGCUUCCUAGUUGUGAGGCUUAGAUAUAAGAAACUCCUAGAAAUGACAAUAAGUAUGUUAAAUGUAUUUGGAAAUGAAGACUUCAGUUUCCAUGGAGACUUAAAAACAGAUGAACUGAAAAUGGAUAUUCUGAUUAAGAAGAUAUAACAGAAGGCAAUGCUUAAAUAAAUUUUAUUUUAUUUUAAGGUCUGGAAUACAUGUGCGAGACAUGCAGGUUUGUUACACAGCUUAAUGAUCUUAUAGCAGAGAAGAAAGCUGUAUCUUCAAAAUGUAUCAAUUCGAAUAAGGAAAAUCAAGUUAUUCAACAGGAGUUAUUAUCUAUGAAAAAAAGUACAAAAGAAACGUGAAAAACAUGAGGAGGAUAAAAAGAUGUUGGAAAAAUAAACAUUAAAUCUUAAGACACAUAUGAAAAAAUAUGGUAGAAGUUGGUAAAGUACAAGAAUAUAAAUUGGAGCUGGAUGAAAAAGCGAUGCAAGCAAUAGAAAAAUUAGAAGAAAUCCAUUUACUGGUUAGUUUUUUAAAUCAAAAACAAGCAGAUUAUGAAAAACAAUUCGAGCAGCUAAAAUAGGAGGAUACAGCUUCACAAAAUGAGAUGGAACUCACGGCUAAAGAUGCGGGAUGGAAACUCUUCAAAAUAAAAACUGCUUAUGAAGAGGUUACAACUGAAUUAGAAGAAUAUAAGGAAGUUUUUGCAAUAACAUGAAAAGCUAACAAUUCCAUGUCAAAAAAAUACAUAAAAUUGAAGAAGAAAAUAGCAGUGUUCAGCACCAAGCUCCUUAUGGAGAAAGAGAAAAUGAAAUCUUGUCUCGGCACUCUUCCUACGAGGCCAGACCCAGAGUCAUCUUAUGUUGAAAAUCUUAAUAGUAUAGGAUAAAACAGAAAAUAUAUUCCUGAAACACCCAUAAGAAUUCCUACUUCAGGCCAGGCGUGGUGGCUCAUGCCUGUAAUCCCAGCACUUUGGGAGGCCGAGGUGUGUGGAUCACCAGGUCAAGAGAUCAAGUCCAUCCUGGUCAACAUGGUGAAACCCUGUCUCUACUAAAAAUACAAUAAAUUAGCUGGGCACAGUGGUGUGUGCCUAUAAUCCCAGCUACUCAGGAGGCUGAGGCAGGAGAAUUGCCUGAACCCAGGAGGCGGAGGUUGUGGUGAGCUGAGAUUAUGCUAUUGCACUCCAGCCUGGGUAACGAGCAAAACUCCAUCUCAAAAAAACAAACAAAAAAAAAGAAUUCCUACUUCAGACCCACAGGCUUGAAAUAAUUGCAAGAAUGACUUGACUGAGGUUAGUUAUAUUACCUUUCUUUUGGGUUUCAUUUCUUUAAUAUAAUUCUUAUUUUUAGUGUGGUAAAAUACUGAGUUUUUCUGUUGAUUUAUGCAUGUGAAUUAGCCAUGUUAACACAGAAAGAAAAUGGGAACUUGACAUAUUUUAAUUCCCUGUAGCUGUCAUUUUCAAGAGAUACUUAUUUAUUAACUUUAUUCAAUAAAUGUGAAUGAACUGACAUAUUUAAAAUUUCUUUAAAAGCUGCAUUUAAGUUAGGUUUUAGAAAUUGCAUGUUAUUGCCUAAUAACUGAAGGUAUACAUUGAGAUGCUUUGGCUUACUCUCUAGUUGAUUGCAGUUUGGCUGUGGUUCAUAAUGCUUUUUUUCUUUUCUGAGACAGAGCCUCACUCUGUCCCCAGGCUGGAGUGCAAUGGUGCAAUCUCAGCUCUCUGAAACCUCUGCCUCCUGGGUUCAAGUAAUUCUUCUGCCUCAGCCUCCUGAGUAGAUGAGACUACAGGCGCCUGUCACCAUGCCUGGCUAAUUUUUGUAUUUUUACUAGAGACAGAAUUUUACCAUAUCAGCCAGGCUGGUCUCAAACUCCUGACCUUGUGAUCUGCCAGCCCCGGCCUCCCAAAGUGCUGGGCUUACAGGUGGGAGCCACUGCACCCAGCUCAUAUCACUUUUAAAGUUUCAUUGCACCAUCUCAACUCUUUCCACCCAUAAUCACACGUGAAUGAUUGGUAUUAAAACACUUAACCACACAUAGAUGUUUAUUAUUUAAUAGGAUCCAAAAUAAGUGCAUUUUAUAAAUUAAAUAAAACUAUAACGUUCAUUUUCAUUUUUAUGUUAAAAGCUUUAUGCUUGGCCAGGCACAGGGACUCACGCAUAUAAUUCCAGCAUUUUGUGAGGCCGAGGUGGGCAAAUCUCCUAAGGUCAGGAGUUUGAGACCAGCCUGACCAACAUGAUAAAACCUCAUCUCUACUGAAAAUAUGAAAAUCAGGGAGCCACAGUGGCUCUGGUCAGUUGUUGUGGCACUUGAGGAGGUGAGGCUAUGAGUUCAAGGACAACCUGAGCAAGAUAACAAGCUCUCAUUGAUUAAUAAAAAUAUAAAAAUUAGCUGAGCAUGGUGGCAGGCACAUGUAAUGCCAGAUACUUGGGAGGCUGAGGCAGGAGAAUCACUUGAACCCUAGGAGACAGAGGUUGCAGUGAGCCACCGAGAUCACACCACUGCACUACAACCUGGGUGACAAAGGGAGAGUCCAUCUUAAAAAAAAAAGCUUUGUGCUUUUCUUGCAUAACAGUAUAUCCAGUGACUACAAAAAUCCUAGAAUAAAACUUAGGAAAUACUAUUCUGGACAUCACACUUGUGAAUUAAUUUAUGGCUAAGUCCUCAAACGCAAUUGCAAGGAUAACAAAAGUUGACAAGUGUGAUCUAAUUAAGCUGAAGAGCUUCUGCACAGCAUGAGAAACUGUCAAGGGGUUAAACAGACAGCCUAAGAAACAGAAAGAAAUACUCACAAACUAUGCACAAAGAAAAGACCUAUUAUCCAGAAACCAUAAACAACCUAAACAAAUCAACAAGCACAAAAUAAAUAACUUCAUUAAAAAUGGACAAAUUACAUGAAUGGACAUUUCUCAAAAAAACACCUAUAAGUGGCCAACAAACAUAUUAACAAAUGCUAAUCAUUGCUAAUUAUCAGAGAAAUGCCAAACAAAACAUCAAUGAGACACCAUCCCACACCAGUCUGAAAGAUUUUUGUAUAAAAGUCAAAAACAAAACAAAACAAAACAAAAAACACAUGCUGGGGAAGCUGUGGAGAAAAGGAAGCACACACUAUUGGUGGCAAUGUAAAUUAGUUCAGCUACUAUGAAUAACAGUUUAGAAAUUAGGAACUAAGAAUGAACAUUGGAUACAGCAACCCUAUUACCAGACUAGGGGUAUGCCUAAAGGAAAAUAAAUUAUUGUAACAAAGAGAUGCAUGCACAUGUAUGUUCACCACAGCACUAUUUAUAAUAGCAGAAACAUGGAGUCAACCCAGGUACAUCUAAGGUAGAUUGAAAAUUCAGGUAAAUCAGAAAAUUUUAUAUACCAUGGAAUACCAUGUAGCCAUACAAAGAACAAAAUCAUAUCUUUGCAGAACAUGGAUAGAGAUGAAAUCCACUAUCCUAAGCAAACUAAUGCAGAAACAAAUCAAAUAUCUGAUGUUUCACUCAUAUGUGGGAGCUAUAUGCUGGGUGCACAUUAUCAUAAACAUGAAAACAAUAGGCACUGGGAAAUAAGAAUGGGGAGGGACAGAGUGGGUCAGGGUUGAAAAACUACUUUUUGGAUCCUACACACAGCUGCCUGUGUGAUGGGUUCAAUUGUACUCCAAACUUGAACAUUCCUCAAUAUACCUUUGGAAGAAACCUACACAGGUAACAUCUUAAUUUAGAACACAAAUGAGAAUAAGAAAAAAGUGAAAAGAAACGUUUAAUAUAAAAAAGUUUACUAUAAGUGGAAAACAGAAAUUUCUCUGUAAGAAAAAAUUUAUUGAUGUAAAAAAAGUAUUAAACUUUUAUAAA